rnacentral:rRNA from 1 species
GAUGAACGCUGGCGGCGUGCCUAAUACAUGCAAGUCGAGCGAACGGACGAGAAGCUUGCUUCUCUGAUGUUAGCGGCGGACGGGUGAGUAACACGUGGAUAACCUACCUAUAAGACUGGGAUAACUUCGGGAAACCGGAGCUAAUACCGGAUAAUAUUUUGAACCGCAUGAUUCAAAAGUGAAAGACGGUCUUGCUGUCACUUAUAGAUGGAUCCGCGCUGCAUUAGCUAGUUGGUAAGGUAACGGCUUACCAAGGCAACGAUGCAUAGCCGACCUGAGAGGGUGAUCGGCCACACUGGAACUGAGACACGGUCCAGACUCCUACGGGAGGCAGCAGUAGGGAAUCUUCCGCAAAGGGCGAAAGCCUGACGGAGCAACGCCGCGUGAGUGAUGAAGGCCUUCGGAUCGUAAAACUCUGUUAUUAGGGAAGAACAUAUGUGUAAGUAACUGUGCACAUCUUGACGGUACCUAAUCAGAAAGCCACGGCUAACUACGUG